AGAGUUUGAUCCUGGCUCAGGAUGAACGCUGGCGGCGUGCUUAACACAUGCAAGUCGAACGGACUCAUAUUGAAACCUAGUGAUUUAUGAGUUAGUGGCGGACGGGUGAGUAACGCGUGGAAAACCUGCCGUAUACUGGGGGAUAACACUUAGAAAUAGGUGCUAAUACCGCAUAAGCGCACAGCUUCGCAUGAAGUGGUGUGAAAAACUCUGGUGGUAUACGAUGGUUCCGCGUCUGAUUAGCUUGUUGGUGGGGUAAUGGCUCACCAAGGCGACGAUCAGUAGCCGGCCUGAGAGGGUGAACGGCCACAUUGGGACUGAGACACGGCCCAAACUCCUACGGGAGGCAGCAGGUGGGGAAUAUUGCACAAUGGGGGAAACCCUGAUGCAGCGACGCCGCGUGAGUGAAGAAGUAUUUCGGUAUGUAAAGCUCUAUCAGCAGGGAAGAAAAUGACGGUACCUGAUUAAGAAGCCCCGGCUAACUACGUG
rnacentral:rRNA from 1 species